AUGGCUCAGAUUGAACGCUGGCGGCAGGCCUAACACAUGCAAGUCGAACGGUAACAGGAAGAAGCUUGCUUCUUUGCUGACGAGUGGCGGACGGGUGAGUAAUGUCUGGGAAACUGCCUGAUGGAGGGGGAUAACUACUGGAAACGGUAGCUAAUACCGCAUAACGUCGCAAGACCAAAGAGGGGGACCUUCGGGCCUCUUGCCAUCGGAUGUGCCCAGAUGGGAUUAGCUUGUGGUGGGGUAACGGCUCACCAGGCGACGAUCCCUAGCUGGUCUGAGAGGAUGACCAGCCACACUGGAACUGAGACACGGUCCAGACUCCUACGGGAGGCAGCAGUGGGGAAUAUUGCACAAUGGGCGCAAGCCUGAUGCAGCCAUGCCGCGUGUAUGAAGAAGGCCUUCGGGUUGUAAAGUACUUUCAGCGGGGAGGAAGGGAGUAAAGUUAAUACCUUUGCUCAUUGACGUUACCCGCAGAAGAAGCACCGGCUAACUCCGUGCCAGCAGCCGCGGUAAUACGGAGGGUGCAAGCGUUAAUCGGAAUUACUGGGCGUAAAGCGCACGCAGGCGGUUUGUUAAGUCAGAUGUGAAAUCCCCGGGCUCAACCUGGGAACUGCAUCUGAUACUGGCAAGCUUGAGUCUCGUAGAGGGGGGUAGAAUUCCAGGUGUAGCGGUGAAAUCGUAGAGAUCUGGAGGAAUACCGGUGGCGAAGGCGGCCCCCUGACGAAGACU
rnacentral:rRNA from 1 species